GGAAGUUCUUUCCUCCCCAAUAAUUUGCUCUGAUGGUAAAUACCUACAUAGUGCCUGUAAAACAAAGUUUAUCAAUUAAAUGGACAAAAGAUUACGGUGUAUCAAUGCACCAUAUCUACAAUUAUUUCAUAUAUCCGCACUGCAGUACCUCCUCGGUUCAAGAUAUAUAAUUUUGCCCAUUUUUCUGUUGUUUUAUUGUAUAAAAAUCAUGACCCUCAGUCCUUUCUUUCCGCAAAUGCCCCUGAAUCUGGUCUAUAUAAGAAAUGGUGAUGCUACCUUCUCAUUUCCGAUUCUUUCUUCGAUAUCUUUAGCUUCAGUUGAGUUCUUUAGAACUGUAUAUAUCUCAAGCUCACCAGUUGCUUUGCAUGUUGGUGCAGAAAGUAGAUUGCAGCCAAGGAUGACUUGCCGAAAAUUUCAAAUAUCAGUAGCAUUAUUAGAUUUACCUUGAUGAAAAUGAAUCUGAAUAUCAGUCUCGGCAAGUUGUCUCUGGCUACAUUUUCCUUUCUACUCCUUAUGUUACGCUUCUGGUGAUAACCAUGUCAGAAGAACUCCGAUCCUAAAUGCUGCAAGAUCUUUCAUUAGAAAGAGUACCUGAUUCAGUUCUGCACCUCAGUAAUGCAGGACAGGGAACAGAAAGUAUAUGACCCCUGCUUUUUGCAUAGGACAGGGAAGAGAAAGAAAGAGAUGGGCGGUAAAAAUCAAAUGAUGGUGUGUUGUUGCUUGCUGGUGCUGUUACUAAUUUCCCCCCAACUGUGAGGGAAUGAUGAGUAAUGAUUUUAAUGUUCCCUUGCAACUAGUUACGCUCUAGUCAAUUCAAAACAAACACAUAUCUAGAGAUCUUCCCUAAUGUAACAUAGCUUCUUCAACUUCGCUCCAUCAAAGCAGUCUCUUUCAAGUCAUUAAUUUCUAGUGAAGCUCAGUAGUAUCUAGUGAAGUUGAGCUGAGACAUUGCCUUUUUGUUCUGAUCGAUCGAUUAUAGUACAUUGAGAUCAAUUAUGUCCA